AAGCAGCAAUUUAUAAAUCACAGGCUGAAACAGGUGAAAUCAAAGGACAUUACUUGAAUGCUACUGCAGGUACAUGCGAAGAAAUGAUGAAAAGAGCUAUAUUUGCUAGAGAAUUGGGAGUUCCGAUUGUAAUGCAUGAUUACUUACCAUAGGAAGAGCGUGUGUAGGGAA